UCUCUCCCGUUCCCUAACCUCACCCGAGCCCGAUUCUUCCCCUCUUGCCCGAUCGCCGCCUCUCUCUCAGUGUGGAGCACCGACCGCCGCCCUCUCCACCUGACCUCUCCUCUUCCCCUAUUUAUCGCUGACCUUUCCCGAGCCCCUCACGACUUCUCCUCUCUUGCGCCAUCACCGACGCCGAGCCACCCGACGACUCACCAGAGCAGUCUCAGCCAUCAUCGCCACCCUUCUCCACAGAACCGUGUGAAGCCACCAGCUGAUCGCCGUCCACGCGAGCGCCGCAGAAACUGCUCUACCACUGGCAGCCACCGCCUAUGCCCUAACCCGAUCCAGUGAGGCCAUUGCCCUUUCUUUUCCCUCUUUGCCACGGGACGCCACAGCCUCUAUCUCCGAUGAUUGAUCGCAGGCACCGAUUGUGGAAUAUCCGACGAUCUCUAUUUUUCGGCCAUAAGAAUAUCUAAGGCUGCAGCGGCCAUCUCCAUGAUAGAAUUCCGACCACCACAAUAAGAUGAUCCCUCAUGGAAUGUGGAGGUCAGAUUUGCCACUAUAGGAGAGGAAGCCAAGCUAUCAUGCUUUAGAGUGGUCAGCUGCCUCACCUAGCUCGAUCCAUCACAAAUUUAGGGCUUCUGACGGCCGGAUUGAGGUAUGCAUCAAACCUAGUAGUAGAUUUAGGCAAUUGAUCUCUUACUUAGUGUUGAUUUAGAGUGAUUGUCUGGGAGGCAGUGGCUACAUUUGGAUUCGAUCACAAAUUAUGAUAUAUUCCUUCGGUAGUGGACUAACAGGGGAGCAUCUGUGAUUUAGGUAGAUGAUUAAACAGUUGCAUGGAGGUAUCCAGUCUACUGGUCCCACGUCACAUCAGAAGACAGUUUACCUCGCAUCAUGAUUUCUUUUCAUAUAUUCUUUAUUGUUUUAGCAUUAUGAUGGUGUUUAGCCAUGUGGCUAUUUUCUUUGAUUUUUGGGUUGUAUUUGUGUUUAAGUCGUGUCGGCACGCAUUGUGUUGUUUUAGUUGUAUGGUCUUUCCGUUUGUUUUUUCGCUGUGUUUUUAGUACAGCCGAGUGGACUGUUUUAUAUAUAACUGCGUGGUUAUGUUUGUAGUACAGUCGUGCGGGCUGUUUAAUAUAUAUAUAACUGCGUGGUUGUGUA